rnacentral:misc_RNA from 1 species
AUAAUUUCCCUCUAGACCUAGCUGCUGUAGAAGUUCCAUCUACAAAUGGAUAAUACUUUUAUAUUAGUAUUAGUGUAUACGAUUUUGUGAAAAUAAAGAAGCACUACUAAACUUCUUGAUAUCAAGAAGUUUAGUAGUGCUUCUUUAUUUUUCUUAAAGGUUAUUGUUUUUUUUAUCCGUCUCCAAAUAAAAAAAUAUAAAUUAUAUUUUAUAUUUUAUAAAUUCAAGUAUUAUAGAUAUUAAAUUUAAAAAUAUUUUCUUUCUUUAUAGUGGUCUAGGGGCGGAUGUAGCCAAGUGGAUCAAGGCAGU